rnacentral:rRNA from 1 species
UACGUAGGGGCCUAGCGUUGUCCGGAUUUAUUGGGCGUAAAGAGCUCGUAGGCGGUUUGGUUAGUCAGGUGUGAAAUCUCCACGCUCAACGUGGAGGGGCCACCUGAUACUGCCAUGACUUGAGUCCGGUAGGGGAGUGUGGAAUUCCCGGUGUAGCGGUGAAAUGCGCAGAUAUCGGGAGGAACACCAGUGGCGAAGGCGACUUCCUGGCCUGUUCUUGACGCUGAGGCGCGAAAGCUAGGGGAGCAAACGGG